rnacentral:rRNA from 1 species
UGGCUCAGGAUGAACGCUGGCGGCGUGCUUAACACAUGCAAGUCGAACGGAGUGUAACGCUGAAUUGAUGGUAGCUUGCUACUGGAUUUUCUUGUUGCACUUAGUGGCGGACGGGUGAGUAACGCGUGAGUAACCUGCCCUCGAGUGGGGAAUAACGCCCUGAAAAGAGCGCUAAUACCGCAUAACACAUAGUGACCGCAUGAUCAUUAUGUCAAAGAUUUAUUGCUCGAGGAUGGACUCGCGUCCGAUUAGCUAGUCGGUGGGGUAACGGCCCACCAAGGCGACGAUCGGUAGCCGGACUGAGAGGUUGAACGGCCACAUUGGGACUGAGACACGGCCCAGACUCCUACGGGAGGCAGCAGUGGGGAAUA